UACGUAGGGGGCAAGCGUUGUCCGGAUUUAUUGGGCGUAAAGAGCGUGUAGGCGGCUAGGUAGGUCCGUUGUGAAAACUCGAGGCUCAACCUCGAGACGUCGAUGGAAACCAUCUGGCUAGAGUCCGGAAGAGGAGAGUGGAAUUCCUGGUGUAGCGGUGAAAUGCGCAGAUAUCAGGAAGAACACCCGUGGCGAAGGCGGCUCUCUGGUACGUGACUGACGCUGAGACGCGAAAGCGUGGGGAGCGAACAGG
rnacentral:rRNA from 1 species